GAAAUGAUGACUGCAGUCAGGAAGGCAUGUCUGUUCUCUUUCACUUUCACUUCUCAUCCUUUUGCAGGUAAAUAAUGCUCCGGCUACAAGUCCAGGCACCUAAUAGAGGGGUGCAUGCUCAUGAGUAGCUCAGAGGACCUCAUGCUCAUGGCCACAGAGAUUGGUCCAGAAAAAGGCACAUGCACAUAAACCAGGGAUUUACUUUCAGCUCUGUUCCAGAACAGAUGCUCUUUUCCACUCCCCACGGAGAUCAAGAGCUUGGAGCAGAAAUAAUAGCUCUCCUCACAAAAAGACAAGAGUGGAGAGAACCACACAAUGUCUUUAACUUUUGGGGGAAGAAUCAAGAGCUCUAAGACAAAUCACUUUAUGCACCUAUCUCUACAGUCUUUGCAUACAUGGCCUACUUUUAUUACCCCUUCUCUUUUUGAGGUAACCAGGUAUCCAGGUUAAUCACGCUACCCUUGGUUAUCAUCACAUGUAUUUCUGAAAUUGUCUUUUACAUAUAUCUUUUUACUUGUUAAUGUAAGACAUAAGAACAGCCUUUAUCUUGUUGAUUAUGGUAAUUAGCACAUAGUAAUUUCUCAAUAAAAAUAUGUUGGAAAGU